rnacentral:rRNA from 1 species
AACGAACGCUGGCGGCAGGCCUAACACAUGCAAGUCGAGCGAGGACUUCGGUACUAGCGGCGGACGGGUGUGUAACGCGUGGGAACGUGCCCUUUGCUUCGGAAUACCCAUGGGAAACUGGGAGUAAUACCGGAUGAGCCCUAUGGGGGAAAGAUUUAUCGGCGAAGGAUCGGCCCGCGUUGGAUUAGGUAGUUGGUGGGGUAAUGGCCUACCAAGCCGCCGAUCCAUAGCUGGUUUGAGAGGAUGAUCAGCCACACUGGGACUGAGACACGGCCCAGACUCCUACGGGAGGCAGCAGUGGGGAAUCUUAGACAAUGGGGGAAACCCUGAUCUAGCCAUGCCGCGUGAGCGAUGAAGGCCUUAGAGUUGUAAAGCUCUAUCAGCUGGGAAGAUAAUGACGGUACCAGCAGAAGAAGCCCCGGCUAACUCCGUG